rnacentral:rRNA from 1 species
GGGUUGUGAGGUUAAGCGACUAAGCGUACACGGUGGAUGCCCUGGCAGUCAGAGGCGAUGAAGGACGUGCUAAUCUGCGAUAAGCGUCGGUAAGGUGAUAUGAACCGUUAUAACCGGCGAUUUCCGAAUGGGGAAACCCAGUGUGAUUCGUCACACUAUCAUUAACUGAAUCCAUAGGUUAAUGAGGCGAACCGGGGGAACUGAAACAUCUAAGUACCCCGAGGAAAAGAAAUCAACCGAGAUUCCCCCAGUAGCGGCGAGCGAACGGGGAGGAGCCCAGAGCCUGAAUCAGUGUGUGUGUUAGUGGAAGCGUCUGGAAAGGCGCGCGAUACAGGGUGACAGCCCCGUACACAAAAAUGCACAUACUGUGAGCUCGAUGAGUAGGGCGGGACACGUGGUAUCCUGUCUGAAUAUGGGGGGACCAUCCUCCAAGGCUAAAUACUCCUGACUGACCGAUAGUGAACCAGUACCGUGAGGGAAAGGCGAAAAGAACCCCGGCGAGGGGAGUGAAAAAGAACCUGAAACCGUGUACGUACAAGCAGUGGGAGCACGCUUCGGCGUGUGACUGCGUACCUUUUGUAUAAUGGGUCAGCGACUUAUAUUCUGUAGCAAGGUUAACCGAAUAGGGGAGCCGAAGGGAAACCGAGUCUUAACUGGGCGUUAAGUUGCAGGGUAUAGACCCGAAACCCGGUGAUCUAGCCAUGGGCAGGUUGAAGGUUGGGUAACACUAACUGGAGGACCGAACCGACUAAUGUUGAAAAAUUAGCGGAUGACUUGUGGCUGGGGGUGAAAGGCCAAUCAAACCGGGAGAUAGCUGGUUCUCCCCGAAAGCUAUUUAGGUAGCGCCUCGUGAAUUCAUCUCCGGGGGUAGAGCACUGUUUCGGCAAGGGGGUCAUCCCGACUUACCAACCCGAUGCAAACUGCGAAUACCGGAGAAUGUUAUCACGGGAGACACACGGCGGGUGCUAACGUCCGUCGUGAAGAGGGAAACAACCCAGACCGCCAGCUAAGGUCCCAAAGUCAUGGUUAAGUGGGAAACGAUGUGGGAAGGCCCAGACAGCCAGGAUGUUGGCUUAGAAGCAGCCAUCAUUUAAAGAAAGCGUAAUAGCUCACUGGUCGAGUCGGCCUGCGCGGAAGAUGUAACGGGGCUAAACCAUGCACCGAAGCUGCGGCAGCGACACUAUGUGUUGUUGGGUAGGGGAGCGUUCUGUAAGCCUGUGAAGGUGUACUGUGAGGUAUGCUGGAGGUAUCAGAAGUGCGAAUGCUGACAUAAGUAACGAUAAAGCGGGUGAAAAGCCCGCUCGCCGGAAGACCAAGGGUUCCUGUCCAACGUUAAUCGGGGCAGGGUGAGUCGACCCCUAAGGCGAGGCCGAAAGGCGUAGUCGAUGGGAAACAGGUUAAUAUUCCUGUACUUGGUGUUACUGCGAAGGGGGGACGGAGAAGGCUAUGUUGGCCGGGCGACGGUUGUCCCGGUUUAAGCGUGUAGGCUGGUUUUCCAGGCAAAUCCGGAAAAUCAAGGCUGAGGCGUGAUGACGAGGCACUACGGUGCUGAAGCAACAAAUGCCCUGCUUCCAGGAAAAGCCUCUAAGCAUCAGGUAACAUCAAAUCGUACCCCAAACCGACACAGGUGGUCAGGUAGAGAAUACCAAGGCGCUUGAGAGAACUCGGGUGAAGGAACUAGGCAAAAUGGUGCCGUAACUUCGGGAGAAGGCACGCUGAUAUGUAGGUGAAGCGACUUGCUCGUGGAGCUGAAAUCAGUCGAAGAUACCAGCUGGCUGCAACUGUUUAUUAAAAACACAGCACUGUGCAAACACGAAAGUGGACGUAUACGGUGUGACGCCUGCCCGGUGCCGGAAGGUUAAUUGAUGGGGUUAGCGGUAACGCGAAGCUCUUGAUCGAAGCCCCGGUAAACGGCGGCCGUAACUAUAACGGUCCUAAGGUAGCGAAAUUCCUUGUCGGGUAAGUUCCGACCUGCACGAAUGGCGUAAUGAUGGCCAGGCUGUCUCCACCCGAGACUCAGUGAAAUUGAACUCGCUGUGAAGAUGCAGUGUACCCGCGGCAAGACGGAAAGACCCCGUGAACCUUUACUAUAGCUUGACACUGAACAUUGAGCCUUGAUGUGUAGGAUAGGUGGGAGGCUUUGAAGUGUGGACGCCAGUCUGCAUGGAGCCGACCUUGAAAUACCACCCUUUAAUGUUUGAUGUUCUAACGUUGGCCCGUGAUCCGGGUUGCGGACAGUGUCUGGUGGGUAGUUUGACUGGGGCGGUCUCCUCCUAAAGAGUAACGGAGGAGCACGAAGGUUGGCUAAUCCUGGUCGGACAUCAGGAGGUUAGUGCAAUGGCAUAAGCCAGCUUGACUGCGAGCGUGACGGCGCGAGCAGGUGCGAAAGCAGGUCAUAGUGAUCCGGUGGUUCUGAAUGGAAGGGCCAUCGCUCAACGGAUAAAAGGUACUCCGGGGAUAACAGGCUGAUACCGCCCAAGAGUUCAUAUCGACGGCGGUGUUUGGCACCUCGAUGUCGGCUCAUCACAUCCUGGGGCUGAAGUAGGUCCCAAGGGUAUGGCUGUUCGCCAUUUAAAGUGGUACGCGAGCUGGGUUUAGAACGUCGUGAGACAGUUCGGUCCCUAUCUGCCGUGGGCGCUGGAGAACUGAGGGGGGCUGCUCCUAGUACGAGAGGACCGGAGUGGACGCAUCACUGGUGUUCGGGUUGUCAUGCCAAUGGCACUGCCCGGUAGCUAAAUGCGGAAGAGAUAAGUGCUGAAAGCAUCUAAGCACGAAACUUGCCCCGAGAUGAGUUCUCCCUGACUCC